AUACUUUCCAGUAGGGGCAAUACCAUGAUCACUAAGGUAGUUUUCCCAGUGUGAGGUUUGUCCAUUCAUUCUACUCUGGAUGCGAUGUGCUGACCUCUGUGAUUUCCCCAAAAGUGGGAAACUUGAAUGCAUUAUUUGUGGUAAUAAGGGAUCGCAUCUUCGUUCUCCUC